rnacentral:rRNA from 1 species
CCUACGGGAGGCAGCAGUGGGGGAUAUUGCACAAUGGGGGAAACCCUGAUGCAGCGACGCCGCGUGUGGGAAGACGGUCCUCUGGAUUGUAAACCACUGUUGCCAGGGACGAAAAUGACGGUACCUGGGCCGGAAGCUCAGGCAAACUACGUGCCAGCAGCCGCGGCAACACGGAGGGAGCGAGCGUUGUCCGGAAUUAGUGGGUGUAAAGGGAGCGUAGGCGGGGUUGCAAGUUAGGUGUCAAAACGACGGGCUCAACUGGGAGUCGCAGUCAAAACUGCAGCUCUGGAGUGAAGUAGAGGCAUGCGGAAUGCGUGGUGUAGCGGUGAAAUGCGUAGAUAUCAGGAAGAACUCCGGUGGCGAAGGCAGCCUGCUGG